CCUUAUCAAGAGCGGCAGAGGGACAGGCCCGACGAAGCCCGGCAACCUAAGGUUUUAUACUUGUGGUGCUAAUUCCUGCGGGGAAACCCGAAAGAUGAGG
rnacentral:ncRNA from 1 species